rnacentral:piRNA from 1 species
UCUAGUGAUCCGAUAGUCAGUUUAAGCUGU